rfam:Schistosoma mansoni, Puerto Rico, WGS project CABG01000000 data, contig: 0129
AGUCUUCUGUAUCCGUGCUGAGAUCUCGUCAUACACUAGACCACAAGGGCUGAUGAGACUCUCAAGAUAAGUGAAGCA